UAUUCUCUUCUUUAAAUUUCAAAGAAAUAGUUCCACAUAGUUCGUUGAGCAUUGCAUGUCUAAACCUGUUAAAGAGGUAUUUUUUAGUUCAAACGCUCUGCCAAGUUUCCGAUAUUCUGUUUUUGAUAAUUCUAUGAGUCUCCGAUAGUGUACUAAAAUUAAUUUUGAUAGAUGCCUGAGAAGUGAGAAUAGCUUCCAAGAGUUUGCAUCAACAUUUUUAUUCUUCAGUAUCACAAUAUGGGAAAGGACUGGCCCGAUUUGUAUACGAUUUCAAAACGUCAAUUCCU